GAUGAACGCUGGCGGCGUGCCUAAUACAUGCAAGUCGAGCGAACGGACGAGAAGCUUGCUUCUCUGAUGUUAGCGGCGGACGGGUGAGUAACACGUGGAUAACCUACCUAUAAGACUGGGAUAACUUCGGGAAACCGGAGCUAAUACCGGAUAAUAUUUUGAACCGCAUGGUUCAAAAGUGAAAGACGGUCUUGCUGUCACUUAUAGAUGGAUCCGCGCUGCAUUAGCUAGUUGGUAAGGUAACGGCUUACCAAGGCAACGAUGCAUAGCCGACCUGAGAGGGUGAUCGGCCACACUGGAACUGAGACACGGUCCAGACUCCUACGGGAGGCAGCAGUAGGGAAUCUUCCGCAAUGGGCGAAAGCCUGACGGAGCAACGCCGCGUGAGUGAUGAAGGUCUUCGGAUCGUAAAACUCUGUUAUUAGGGAAGAACAUAUGUGUAAGUAACUGUGCACAUCUUGACGGUACCUAACCAGAAAGCCACGGCUAACUACGUG
rnacentral:rRNA from 1 species